rnacentral:sRNA from 1 species
GGUCUCUGCAAUCAUCGACGUGGACAUUGUGCCAGAAGCUCAUCGCCGUGUCCGUCUCUGCAAGCACGGACAAGAACGACCACUUGGAUUCUAUAUUCGGUAUCGAUUUUUCUGGAAAUUUCAGAUUUCUUGCCAGAAAAUCCCAAAAAUCUGCAAUUCUUUUUUCAGUGACGGAACAUCGGUUCGAGUGACAGAACGAGGCGUCGUCAAAGUUUCAGGAAUUUUCAUUUCCCGGCUUGUCGAUGGUGGGCUCGCCGAGUCCACAGGCCUUCUUGGUGUUAAUGACGAGGUUUUUAAUGGAAUUUUCAGAGUUUUUAAUCUAAAAAUUCCGGUUUUCAGGUGCUCGAGGUGAAUGGAAUUGAGGUUCUCGGAAAGACGCUGGAUCAGGUCACUGAUAUGAUGGUCGCCAAUGCUCAUAACUUGAUUAUUACUG